ACCGUGGUUAUCAUCAUCAAAACAAUCCCCCUUGUUGAAUUAGCCAAAUAUCCUACAAUUUUCUCUUGAGCUACAAACGUACCUUUGUAAAACUAAUUAAUUAGAAUGAUUGUGUUUUCCUCAAUGAUAUUCUAGUUUGGUUUCUACGGAUGAAGCAUCGAAAGCCAAAGAAAUAUUAGUCCUAUCUUGGUAAAUUUCAAAGUACAUACGAGUUCCACCUAAAAAUCCAGCAUAAACCAUAAGUACAACAAACAACAACGAAGGAAGGAAAAACUGAUAUGAAGCUGUAGAGAUUAAAAAGGGAUAUAAGAAGAAACAUUAAUCGACGAAGUCGGGGCAACAAUCAGAGAAAUCCUCACGAGCAAAGCAACAAGAAUCGAUUCUAGAUUGAAAUCGAGAUCCGAAACAGAUCUACCCAGCAAACAGAACACGACCAAGAGAGAAGAAAACAUGGCGAAGAGACACGAGAACACGACGAAAGAAACGAGAACACGGCGAUAAGAGACAAGAACACGACGUAGAAGACGAAAUCAUCGUGAGAGA
rnacentral:lncRNA from 1 species